rnacentral:rRNA from 1 species
UGGGGAAUAUUGGGCAAUGGGGGAAACCCUGACCCAGCGACGCCGCGUGAGGGAAGAAGGCCUUAGGGUCGUAAACCUCUGUUGUGUGGGAAGAAGAGCGUGACGGUACCACACGAGGAAGUCCCGGCUAACUACGUGCCAGCAGCCGCGGUGAUACGUAGGGGACGAGCGUUGUCCGGAUUUACUGGGCGUAAAGGGCGCGUAGGCGGUCAUUUAAGUCAGCUGUGAAAUGGUGCGGCUUAACCGCAUCAUGCGGUUGAAACUGGAUGACUGGAGUGCUGGAGAGGCAAGUGGAAUUCCCAGUGUAGCGGUGAAAUGCGUAGAUAUUGGGAAGAACACCGGUGGCGAAGGCGACUUGCUGGCCAGCAACUGACGCUGAGGCGCGAAAGCCAGGGGAGCAAACGG